UUCAAAACUGACAUGAGGCUACAACAAAAACAGUUUAUCUCCACAACAACUGCUCUGGUGGAAAACAUCCCUUAGAAUGUCCUCUUUUAUUCGGCAUAAACGCUACGCAGCAAAGUUACAAAAUGAGAACAAACUAAACCUUUCAAACGCGAACCCGCAGUAAAGAAAACUGACCUGGCAACCUGAAGCGUGUGCUGAGGAGCUGCAUCACAAGGACCUCCAAGCCAAGCAGACUCCAGCUCGCUAGGAAGCGGAGGAGAAAGAGAGAGGAGCUGCUUCCGGUUGACGUCUCGGGACACGUUCCAAUAUGAAAACGUGAGCGGCCGCGUGCAGGAGAAGGAGGAGGGUUGGAGCGACUGAAAAGUCAACACAAAAGUAUCUAUUGGAGAACUGUGAAAACAUACUAAAAACCCUGUCUUCUGCGCAACUGGCUUCCAGCGUGAAUCUGUGAGACUAAAGGCUGGUCCUAAAGAAGUAGGCAUUUUUCGGAGGUCUCAAGAAGGUAAGAAAUACAAAAGUGUGUGUGUAUGUGUAUGUGUGUGUGUGUGUGUGUGUGUGUGUGUGUGUGUGUGUGUGUGUGUGUGUGU